AGUAACGGUCUUCUUCCUCAAUUUAGCAACCAAAACCUGAAAAUCAGCAUUGGAGGGCUGAUUAUGGAGCUGUAAUUGGGUAGAUUCUAACUCAUUUUUGGCCUCGAUUGCUUUACCCGAAAUAUGUCCAAAAUGCUUGGAAUUAAGUUCCUUCAAAGCCCCUUUUAAUUUGCUCAAUUUCUUGCAAAUGAUGAAUUGUUUGGUCCCUCACAAGUAAAAAUUCCAACAAUCUCUAAUCAAAACAUUGAAAUCCACAUGCUUGGUCCACAUGUUAAAAAACUUGAAAGGGUUUUUUGCUCUUCCCACACGGUCAUGUAUAGAAACAAUGCAAGGGAAGUGGUCGGAGAGGCAUCCGGAAGGAAGGAAAUUUGCUUCAACAAAAGCCCCAUUUUGUAUCCAAACAUCAUUGACCAUUGCCCUAUCAAUUUUGCUCCAAACUGAACCAUUAGUCCACGUGUAAAAAGAACCAAUGGAGCGCACAUCCGUAAGACCCACGUUAAGGCAACAAUUUGCAAGAUCUUUAAUUUCAUAAGGGGUAACAUCCGCCCUAUUGCACUUCUCAUCAGAUUUAAGAACAUUGUUGUAAUCACUCAUAAUCAACCAAGGUAACGACACAUUUACAUUAAGCUCCAUAAUGGUAUUCCAAAGAGGCCUUCGGUUUAUCAUAGUGUGAAAUCCAUAAACAAAACUUACAAGAGAAGCAUAAGAAGUUACCUUGCAAGUAGCUUUACAAUGGAUAAUUUGUGAAUGAACCUCCAUCACAUCCAAAAAAAACUUUGGAUGGAUUCCAAAAAAUUAAGAUCCUUCCGGCUCUAUGUGUGUAAAAAUUAUUAACUUGCAUGAAGCCAUCAAAUUUAUUUUGCAAAAUCCUCUUCAACUUUCGGUCCCCCAACUUCGUUUCCGAAAUUGCCAAAAUAUCAAUGCUAUAAAACUUUAUAAACUCUCGAAUCUCAUUUUGUUUGAGGGGUAGAUUCAUGCCCCUAAUGUUCCAAGAAGCGAUCUUCAUGAUGAGGAAGCAAGGGAAGUUUCCUUCUUCUCGAAUCUCGACUUCUUUUUCUCUUCAACUUUGCCUUUAAGCUUUUCAUUUCCGGACUUAGAAGAAUCUGCCUGAUUUGAGCAUAAUGAGGAAUCUGCCAUAGAUUUCAAGCCCCA
rnacentral:lncRNA from 1 species